rnacentral:rRNA from 1 species
CGGGUGAGUAAUAUAUCGGAACGUGCCCAGUCGUGGGGGAUAACGUAGCGAAAGCUACGCUAAUACCGCAUACGAUCCAUGGAUGAAAGCGGGGGAUCGCAAGACCCCGCGCGAUUGGAGCGGCCGAUAUCAGAUUAGGUUGUUGGUGGGGUAAAAGCUUACCAAGCCUGCGAUCUGUAGCUGGUCUGAGAGGACGACCAGCCACACUGGAACUGAGACACGGUCCAG